UCUGGUUGAUCCUGCCAGUAGUCAUAUGCUUGUCUCAAAGAUUAAGCCAUGCAGGUCUAAGUCCAUGCCGCAUUAAGGUGAGACCGCGAAUGGCUCAUUAUAUCAGUUAUGGUUCCUUAGAUUUUCGGUUACACUUGGAUAACCCUGGUAAUUCUAGAGCUAAUACAUGCAUCCCAACACCGACCCUCGGGAAGGUGUGUUUUUAUUAGCCCAAGACCAAUCGUCUCCUUCGGGUGACGUCCUAUUGGUGAUUCAGAAUAACUUUGUUCGGAUCGCAUGGCCUUUGUGCCGGCGACGCAUCUUUCAAAUGUCUGCCUUAUCAACUUGUUGGUUGGUUAAAUGCCAACCAAGGUGUUAACGGGUGACGGAGAAUCAGGGUUCGAUACCGGAGAGGGAGCCUGAGAAACGGCUACCACAUCCAAGGAAGGCAGCAGGCACGCAAAUUACCCACUCCCGGCUCGGGGAGGUAGUGACGAAAAAUAAUAAUGCGAGACUCAUCCGAGGCUUCGCAAUUAGAAUGGGAACACUUCAAAUCCUUUAUCGAGGAUCUAUUGGAGGGCAAGUCUAGUGCCAGCAGCCGCGGUAAUUCCAGCUCCAAUAGCGUAUAUUAAAGUUGCUGCGGUUAAAAAGCUCGUAGUUGGAUCUCAGUCUUGGUCGGACGGUUCAUCUCACGAUGAUACAGUUCGAAUCGGACAAUUCGACGCCUUUCUUCGUAUGCUCUUCAUUGAGGUGUACGGGGAGAGUGUCACGUUUACUUUGAAAAAAUUAGAGUGCUCAAAGCAGGCAAUCGCCUGAAUCUUCGUGCAUGGAAUGAUGGAAUAGGGCCUCGGUUCUAUUUUGUUGGUUUCCGGAACUCGAGGUAAUGAUUAAGAGGGACGGACGGGGGCAUUCGUAUUGCGACGUUAGAGGUGAAAUUCUUAGAUCGUCGCAAGACGAACUACUGCGAAAGCAUUUGCCAAGAAUGUUUUCAUUAAUCAAGAACGAAAGUCAGAGGUUCGAAGGCGAUCAGAUACCGCCCUAGUUC
rnacentral:rRNA from 1 species